GACGAACGCUGGCGGCGUGCCUAAUACAUGCAAGUUGAGCGCUGAAGGUUGGUACUUGUACCAUCUGGAUGAGCAGCGAACGGGUGAGUAACGCGUGGGGAAUCUGCCUUUGAGCGGGGGACAACAUUUGGAAACGAAUGCUAAUACCGCAUAAAAACUUUAAACACAAGUUUUAAGUUUGAAAGAUGCAAUUGCAUCACUCAAAGAUGAUCCCGCGUUGUAUUAGCUAGUUGGUGAGGUAAAGGCUCACCAAGGCGAUGAUACAUAGCCGACCUGAGAGGGUGAUCGGCCACAUUGGGACUGAGACACGGCCCAAACUCCUACGGGAGGCAGCAGUAGGGAAUCUUCGGCAAUGGACGAAAGUCUGACCGAGCAACGCCGCGUGAGUGAAGAAGGUUUUCGGAUCGUAAAACUCUGUUGGUAGAGAAGAACGUUGGUGAGAGUGGAAAGCUCAUCAAGUGACGGUAACUACCCAGAAAGGGACGGCUAACUACGUG
rnacentral:rRNA from 1 species